ACCAACUCGAAUUCCUUCACAAUAUCUUUCAUCAAGUCAAUGCGCUUGGCAUCAACCAAAAUGUUCAAGAAAUUUGCGGUGUGGGGCUGGAGUCCCGACGACUCCACAAUUUCGUCAAGCAGUUGGCGUUUCUUCUCGGUAUCGAUUGUUGGGUUGGAGAAAAAGUCGAACACUUGGGGGUCCGAAAAGAGCUUCUCGACUUUUUCCACGUCAGCGGAGGUCGCUUCCAGGGUGUUGUUCCCCUUGGCAACGUCAGCCAGGGCUGUGGCAUAACUAGCAGCGGCAGUAGCUGACAUUUUCGCUCCCGUAGCACCCCCACCGCCGCCGCCGCGGGCACGGGAGGUGGAUGUUAGGUUGAUAGAUGGGAAAGAGGCGGAGAAAGAGAGGUUGAUGGGUCUUUGAGACGAGACGGCUCCUGAGACUCGUGCAGCCGG
rnacentral:lncRNA from 1 species